rnacentral:rRNA from 1 species
AUUGAACGCUAGCGGGAUGCCUUACACAUGCAAGUCGAACGAGUGGCGAACGGGUGAGUAAUGUAUCGGAACGUGCCCAGUAGCGGGGGAUAACUACGGGAAAGGUAGCUAAUACCGCAUACUAUUGGAGCGGCCGAUAGCGGAGUAGCGAGAUGGUGGGGUAACGGCUUACCAAGGCGACGAGCCGUAGCUGGUUUGAGAGGACGACCAGCCACACUGGGACUGUGAGACGGCCCAGCGUCCUACGGGAGGAAGCGGUGGGGAAGUUUGGGCAAUGGGAGAAAGCCUGAUCCACCCAUCCCGCGUGUGCGAUGAAGGCCUUCGGGUUGUAGAGCUCUUUUGGCCUGGAAGCGGUACCUGCAGAAUAAGCACCGGCUAACUACGUGCCAGCAGCCGCGGUAAUUC